AUGUCUGAACUCGGCUGUGUGCCUGAUGCCUUGUCGUACUCCGUCGUUCUGAAGGUCUUGUGUGACGAUAGCAGGAGCCAACGAGCGCUCGACCUGCUCCAGAUGAUGUCGAAAGAAGGAGGUGGGUGCGCCCCGAACGUGGUGGCAUAUAGCACGUUCAUCCAUGGCUUCUGUAAGGAAGGCAAAGUAAGCCAGGCAUGCGAUCUGUUCGAUGAAAUGGUGCAGCAAGGAGUUAAGCCUAAUGUGGUGACAUACACCUCAGUAAUUGAUGCGCUGUGCAAGGCAAGAGCAAUGGACAAGGCAGAGUCGUUCCUUCGGCAUAUGGUCAAUCAUGGUGUUCGACCCAACAACGUGACCUAUAAGUAUAUGAUCCAGGGUUAUUCCACUUUGGGCUGGUUGAAAGAGGCAGUAAAAAUAUUUAGAGAAACGACAAGUAGGGGUCUUAUACUAGACGAUGUUACUCGCAACUUGUUCGUGGCCUCCCUUUGCAACCAUGGAAGAAGCAAGGAAGCUGCUGAGUUUGCCCAUCAGAUGAUUGAAACUGGAACAACAGUGAGCAUUUCCACAUACAGUAUAAUUCUUGGAGAACUUUGUAGGAAUAAUUGCACUGAGGAAGCAAUCAUACUGUUCCGCAAAUUAGGUGCAGUGAAUGUGAAGUUCGAUAUUACAAUAUUCAAUACCAUGAUUGAUGCAAUGUACAGGGUUCAAAGAAGAGAAGAAGCUAACAUUUUGUUUGCUGCAAUAUCUGCCAAUGGAUUGGUACCUAAUGCUUCUACUUACAGAAUAAUGAUAACAAGUAUUGUAAAAGAAGGAUCAAUGGAAGAAGCUGAUCAUAUGUUUUCAUCAAUGGAGACGAGUGGUUAUGCUCCCAGCUCCGUUCUGUUAAAUGAUAUCAUCAGAAUGUUGCUAGAAAAAGGUGAGAUAGUCAAGGCUGGAAAUUAUUUGUCUAAAGUUGAUGGGAAGUGCAUUUCACUUGAAGCUUCAACUGGUUUGUUGAUGAUGCAUCUAUUUUCAAGAGAAGGCAAAUAUCAUGAGCAAAUAAGAUCACUCCCUGCAAGGUAUGAAUUUUUCGGAGUCAGCACAGUUGAGUAG
rnacentral:rRNA from 1 species